rnacentral:rRNA from 1 species
UACGGAGGGUGCAAGCGUUGUUCGGAAUCAUUGGGCGUAAAGAGCGUGUAGGCGGUCGGGUAAGUCAGAUGUGAAAUCCCUUGGCUUAACCAAGGAAGUGCAUUUGAAACUACCCGGCUUGAGUACGGGAGGGGGAAGUGGAAUUCCCGGUGUAGAGGUGAAAUUCGUAGAUAUCGGGAGGAACACCGGUGGCGAAGGCGGCUUCCUGGACCGAUACUGACGCUGAGACGCGAAAGCGUGGGGAGCAAACAGG